rnacentral:rRNA from 1 species
CCUACGUGAUGCAGCCGUGCGGAAUAUUGGUCAAUGGGCUCGAGCCUGAACCAGCCAAGUAUCGUGAAGGAUGACUGCCCUACGGGUUGUAAACUUCUUUUAUAAAAGAAUAAAGUGAGGCACGUGUGCCUUUUUGUAUGUACUUUAUGAAUCAGGCUCGGCUAACUCCGUGCCAGCAGCCGCGGUAAUCCGGAGGAUCCGAGCGUUAUCCGGAUUUAUUGGGUUUAAAGGGAGCGUAGAUGGGGUGUUAAGUCAGUUGUGAAAGUUUGCGGCUCAACCGUAAAAUUGCAAUUGAUACUGGCAGCCUUGAGUACAGUAGAGGUAGGCGGAAUUCGUGGUGUAGCGGUGAAAUGCUUAGAUAUCACGAAGAACUCCGAUUGCGAAGGCAGCUUACUAAACUGCCACUGACAUUGAUGCUCGAAAGUGUGGGUAUCAAACAGGAUUAGAUACCCUAGUAGUC